rnacentral:rRNA from 1 species
GGCAACCCUGACGGAGCAAUACCGCGUGAGGGAGGAAGGCCUUUGGGUUGUAAACCUCUUUUCUUAAGGAAGAAGCUCUGACGGUACUUAAGGAAUCAGCAUCGGCUAACUCCGUGCCAGCAGCCGCGGUAAUACGGAGGAUGCAAGCGUUAUCCGGAAUUAUUGGGCGUAAAGCGUCCGCAGGCGGCAUUAUAAGUCUGCUGUCAAAGACCGCAGCUCAACUGCGGAGAGGCAGUGGAAACUGUAAAGCUAGAGUACGGUAGGGGUAGAGGGAAUUCCCAGUGUAGCGGUGAAAUGCGUAGAGAUUGGGAAGAACACCAGUGGCGAAAGCGCUCUACUGGGCCGUAACUGACGCUCAGGGACGAAAGCUAGGGGAGCG